rnacentral:rRNA from 1 species
ACACCGGCGGCCCGAGUGGUGAUCGUGAUUAUUGGGUCUAAAGGGUCCGUAGCCGGUUUGGUCAGUCCUCCGGGAAAUCUGGUAGCUCAACUAUUAGGCUAUCGGGGGAUGCUGCCAGACUUGGAACCGGGAGAGGUAAGAGGCACUACAGGGGUAGGAGUGAAAUCUUGUAAUCCCUGUGGGACCACCUGUGGCGAAGGCGUCUUACCAGAACGGGUUCGACGGUGAGGGACGAAAGCUGGGGGCAC